UACGUAGGGGGCUAGCGUUGUCCGGAAUCAUUGGGCGUAAAGAGCGUGUAGGCGGCCCGGUAAGUCCGCUGUGAAAGUCGGGGGCUCAACCCUCGAAUGCCGGUGGAUACUGUCGGGCUAGAGUGCGGAAGAGGCGAGUGGAAUUCCUGGUGUAGCAGUGAAAUGCGCAGAUAUCAGGAGGAACACCAAUUGCGAAGGCAGCUCGCUGGGACGUAACUGACGCUGAGACGCGAAAGCGUGGGGAGCAAACAGG
rnacentral:rRNA from 1 species